GACGAACGCUGGCGGCGUGCCUAAUACAUGCAAGUAGAACGCACAGUUUAUACCGUAGCUUGCUACACCAUAGACUGUGAGUUGCGAACGGGUGAGUAACGCGUAGGUAACCUGCCUGGUAGCGGGGGAUAACUAUUGGAAACGAUAGCUAAUACCGCAUAAUAUUGAUUAUUGCAUGAUAAUUAAUUGAAAGGUGCAAUUGCACCACUACCAGAUGGACCUGCGUUGUAUUAGCUAGUAGGUGAGGUAACGGCUCACCUAGGCGACGAUACAUAGCCGACCACAGAGGGGGGUCGGCGACACUGGGACGGAGACACGGCCCAGAAGCCUACGGGAGGCAGCAGUAGGGAAUCUUCGGCAAUGGACGAAAGUCUGACCGAGCAACGCCGCGUGAGUGAAGAAGGGUUUCGGAUCGUAAAGCUCUGUUGUAAGAGAAGAACGGGUGUGAGAGUGGAAAGUUCACACUGUGACGGUAUCUUACCAGAAAGGGACGGCUAACUACGUG
rnacentral:rRNA from 1 species